AGUGAACGCUGGCGGUAGGCCUAACACAUGCAAGUCGAACGGCAGCACAGGAGAGCUUGCUCUCUGGGUGGCGAGUGGCGGACGGGUGAGGAAUACAUCGGAAUCUACUCUGUCGUGGGGGAUAACGUAGGGAAACUUACGCUAAUACCGCAUACGACCUACGGGCGAAAGCAGGGGACCUUCGGGCCUUGCGCGAUUGAAUGAGCCGAUGUCGGAUUAGCUAGUUGGCGGGGUAAAGGCCCACCAAGGCGACGAUCCGUAGCUGGUCUGAGAGGAUGAUCAGCCAAACUGGAACGGAGACACGGUCCAGACUCCUACGGGAGGCAGCAGUGGGGAAUAUUGGACAAUGGGCGCAAGCCUGAUCCAGCCAUACCGCGUGGGUGAAGAAGGCCUUCGGGUUGUAAAGCCCUUUUGUUGGGAAAGAAAUCCAGCUGGCUAAUACCCGGUUGGGAUGACGGUACCCAAAGAAUAAGCACCGGCUAACUUCGUGCCAGCCGCCGCAGUAA
rnacentral:rRNA from 1 species